UACGUAGGGGGCAAGCGUUGUCCGGAAUCAUUGGGCGUAAAGAGCGUGUAGGCGGCCCGAUAAGUCCGCCGUGAAAGUCCAGGGCUCAACCCUGGAAUGCCGGUGGAAACUGUCGGGCUGGAGUCCGGAAGAGGCGAGUGGAAUUCCUGGUGUAGCGGUGAAAUGCGCAGAUAUCAGGAGGAACACCAAUGGCGAAGGCAGCUCGCUGGGACGGUACUGACGCUGAGACGCGAAAAGCGUGGGGGAGCAAACAGG
rnacentral:rRNA from 1 species